AUUGAACGCUGGCGGCAGGCCUAACACAUGCAAGUCGAGCGAGCGGCGGACGGGUGAGUAAUGUAUGGGGAUCUAACUGAUGGAGGGGGAUAACUACGGGAAACGGUAUCUAAUACCGCAUACCAUCAGAUGAUCACAAAUGGGCUUAGCUAGUUGGUAAGGUAAAGGCUUACCAAGGCGACGAUCUCUAGCUGGUCUGAGAGGAUGAGCGUCCACACUGGGACGGAGACACGGCCCAGACUCCUACGGUAGGCAGCAGUGGGGAAUAUUGCACAAUGGGCGCAAGCCUGAUGCAGCCAUGCCGCGUGUAUGAAGAAGGCCUUCGGGUUGUAAAGUACUUUCAGUCGGGAGGCGUUACCGACAGAAGAAGCACCGGCUAACUCCGUGCCAGCAGCCGCGGUAAUUC
rnacentral:rRNA from 1 species